rnacentral:rRNA from 1 species
UUGCAGUUAAAAAGCUCGUAGUUGAACCUUGGGCCUGGCUGGCCGGUCCGCCUCACCGCGUGCACUGGUCCGGCCGGGCCUUUCCCUCUGGGGAACCGCAUGCCCUUCACUGGGUGUGUCGGGGAACCAGGACUUUUACCUUGAAAAAAUUAGAUCGCUUAAAGAAGGCCUAUGCUCGAAUACAUUAGCAUGGAAUAAUAGAAUAGGACGUGUGGUUCUAUUUUGUUGGUUUCUAGGACCGCCGUAAUGAUUAAUAGGGACAGUCGGGGGCAUCAGUAUUCAAUUGUCAGAGGUGAAAUUCUUGGA